UCGCGAAACCUUUGCAAUACACGAAAGUGUGACAGGGUCAUCCCGAGUGCCGACCGCUGAGGUUGGCUUUUACCCAGUCUAGAAAGCUGGGGGAAUAAGGAGAGGGCAAGUCUGGUGUCAGCCGCCGCGGUAAUACCAGCUCUCCGAGUGGUGUGGACGUUUAUUGGGCCUAAAGCAUCCGUAGCUGGCUGAUCAAGUCCCCUGUUAAACCCACCGAUUUAAUCGUUGGCUUGCGGGGGAUACUGCUCGGCUAGGGGACGAGAGAGGCAGACGGUAUUCCCGGGGUAGGGGUGAAAUCCUAUAAUCCCGAGAAGACCACCAGUGGCGAAGGCUGUCUGCUAGAACGCGCCCGACGGUGAGGGAUGAAAGCUGGGGGAGCGAACCGGAUUAGAUACCCGGGUAGUCCCAGCUGUAAACGAUGCAGACUAGGUAUUUGGACGGCCACGUGCCGUUCUAGUGCCGCAGGGAAGCUGUUAAGUCUGCCGCCUGGGGAGUACGAUCGCAAGAUUGAAACUUAAAGGAAUUGGCGGGGG
rnacentral:rRNA from 1 species